rnacentral:lncRNA from 1 species
ACCUGACGGUAUUUGAAAACUUUACGACAACGGUCAGCUUCACAAUCGAUUGCACAAAGUCAACAAUCGAUUACUUAUCAGUUUUUGAAAAAUAUUUUAAACGCUGUCUCUUUGACAAUCGAUUGUCCAAUGUAACAAUCGAUUAUUCAAUAAAUUUGAAAAUAACUGGAAGACACUGUCUCAACAUAAUCGAUUACCAUUAGUUCA